UUCCUCUUCAGCUCCCUCGCGCACCGCACUGAUACCGGAGCCGGAAGAUGACGUCAUCCUCCGGCUCCGGUAUCAGUACGCGGCGCGCGAGGGAGCUGAAGA